AAACCGUUCGGGGGUAAACGGACAGAGCCCGUGAAUCCGGGCGACGGAAUUCAGAAUCGACGGCGUUCGCGCGUCGCCGGUUCGAUAUUUCCGUCGCCAUCGCACCAUACGGACGUCGCGACCCGUUCGGUGUCGGUCUGCAGGAGACGUGCGAAAGUUCGUGGGCGUCGAUCGGGUUUCGGCUCGGCUGGCGUUCGCGAGUGCGCGUUUUUUUUUCACUGGCCGACUCGCCGGACGGUAAGCGAAGCGGUGAUCGCGGCGGCCUCUUGUCGGCGCCGUCGCGUUACCGGUCAGCGACGAAUCUUCGGGCCUCUUUCCGA
rnacentral:rRNA from 1 species